rnacentral:rRNA from 1 species
GACGAACGCUGGCGGCGUGCCUAACACAUGCAAGUCGAGCGGAGUCGAUCGACGGAAGCCUUCGGGCGGAAGAUGGUUGACUUAGCGGCGGAUGGGUGAGUAACGCGUGGGCAACCUGCCUCGAAGACCGGGAUAACAGCCCGAAAGGGCUGCUAAUACCGGAUGUGGUCAAGGAUCCGCAUGGAUUUUUGAUUAAAGGGGAAACCCGUUUCGAGAUGGGCCCGCGUCCUAUCAGCUAGUUGGUGAGGUAAAAGCUCACCAAGGCGACGACGGGUAGCCGGCCUGAGAGGGUGACCGGCCACACUGGAACUGAGACACGGUCCAGACUCCUACGGGGGCAGCAGUGGGGAAUCUUCCACAAUGGGCGAAAGCCUGAUGGAGCGACGCCGCGUGAGCGAAGAAGGCCUCGGGUGUAAAGCUCUGUCUGGAGGGACGAAGGAAGUGACGGUACCUCCGGAGGAAGCCACGGCUAACUACGUG